CAGCCGCCGCGGUAAUACCGGCGGCCCGAGUGGCGGUCACUAUUAUUGGGCUUAAAGCGUCCGUAGCCGGGUUGGGAAGUCCUCCGGGAAAUCUGGCCGCUUAACGGUCAGAAUGCCGGAGGAUACUCCCAGCCUAGGGGGCGGGGGAGGCCGAGGGGAUUCCCGGAGUAGGGGGGAAAUCCUAUAAUCCCGGGAGGACCACCUGUGGCGAAGGCGCUCGGCUGGAACGCGUCCGACGGUGAGGGACGAAGGCCAGGGGAGCAAACCGGAUUAGAUACCCGGGUAGUCCUGGCUGUAAACGAUGCGGACUUUGUGUCGGACAAGCUAUGAGCUUGUCCGGUGCCGGAGGGAAACCGUUAAGUCCGCCGCCUGGGGAGUACGGCCGCAAGGCUGAAACUUAAAGGAAUUGGCGGG
rnacentral:rRNA from 1 species